rnacentral:rRNA from 1 species
GAUGAACGCUAGCGGCAGGCCUAAUACAUGCAAGUCGAACGGGAUCUGAGGGUAGCUUGCUACCCGAUUUGAGAGUGGCGCACGGGUGCGUAACGCGUGAGCAACCUACCCAUAUCAGGGGGAUAGCCCGAAGAAAUUCGGAUUAACACCGCAUAAUAAUACGCUAACACAAGUUGAUGUAUUUAAAUAUUUAUAGGAUAUUGAUGGGAUCGCGUGACAUUAGCUAGUUGGUAAGGUAACGGCUUACCAAGGCGACGAUGUCUAGGGGCUCUGAGAGGAGAAUCCCCCACACUGGUACUGAGACACGGACCAGACUCCUACGGGAGGCAGCAGUAAGGAAUAUUGGUCAAUGGGCGCAAGCCUGAACCAGCCAUGCCGCGUGCAGGAUGACUGCCCUAUGGGUUGUAAACUGCUUUUGUUAGGGAAUAAACCUUCUUACGUGUAAGGAGCUGAAUGUACCUAAAGAAUAAGGAUCGGCUAACUCCGUGCCAGCCGCCGCGGUAA